rnacentral:rRNA from 1 species
GACGAACGCUGGCGGCGUGCCUAAUACAUGCAAGUCGAACGCAGUGGGGACGGGUGCGUAACACGUGGGUAACCUCCCAUCAGAGGGGAUAACACUUGGAAACAGGUGCUAAACCGAUACUGAUGGAUGGACCCGCGGGGCAGUAGCUAGUUGGUGAGGUAACGGCUCACCAAGGCCACGAUGCAUAGCCGACCGGAGAGGGGGAUCGGCCACAUUGGGACGGGGCCACGUCCCAGACUCCUACGGGAGGCAGCAGUAGGGAAUCUUCGGCAAUGGACGAAAGUCUGACCCAGCAACGCCGCGUGUGUGGAGAAAGUUUUCGGGUCGUAAAGCUCUGUUGUUGGAGGGGCGGUAUCUAACCAGGAAGCCACGGCUAACUACGUGCCAGCAGCCGCGGUAAUUC